GGCCCUGGCCCCGCCCAAGGCGCUAAUUUAACUCGAACUGCAGAACUACCGGGCGCUGCUCCUACUUCCAGCUCCUGGCUCGAGCCUGCUUGGUCUUAACCUCAGAGACCGCGGAGCCCCGACGCCGGAUCCCCGUCCCCGCUCGCCAUGAGUCCCGCGCGGCGGAGCGCCCCCGUUGUGCUGCGCCUACUGGGCGGGCUGGCUCCGCCGCUGCUGCUGCUGCUGCUCCUGCGUCCUCCGGCUGCGUCGGGUGACUGCAGCUUUCCCCCAGAUGUACCUAAUGCCCAACCAGCUUUGGGAGCUCUUACAAGUUUUCCCGAACAAAGCACAGUAACAUACAAAUGCAACGAAGGCUUUGUAAAAGUUCCUGGCAAGGCAGACUCAGUGGUCUGUCUGAAUAAUAAAUGGUCAGAGGUUGCAGAAUUUUGUAAUCGUAGCUGUGAUGUUCCAACCAGGCUACUUUUUGCAUCUCUCAAAAAGUCUUAUACCAAACAGAAUUAUUUCCCAGAAGGUUCCACUGUAGAAUAUGAUUGCCGUUUGGGUUACAUAAGGGACCAUUCUCUCUCAGGAAAUCUAACUUGCCUUCAGAAUUUUACGUGGUCCAAACCUGAUGAAUUUUGUAAAAAAAAAUCAUGUGCUAACCCUAGAGAAAUAAAAAAUGGUUAUGUCACUAUACCACAUGACCUAUUAUUUGGAUCGUCCAUCCAUUUUUCAUGUAAUACAGGGUACAAAUUAGUUGGUGCAACUUCUAGUUACUGUUCUCUUGCGGGAAGUACUGUUGAGUGGAGUGAUCCGUUUCCAGAAUGCCAAGAAAUUUUAUGUUCAGAACCACCAGAAGUUGACCAUGGAAUGAUUGAAAAGAAACAAAACAGUUAUGCAUAUAGACAAUCUGUAACAUAUAAAUGUAUGAAAGGCUUCACCCUGCAUGGAGAGAGCUCUAUCAAUUGUACUGUAAAAGAUGACCAAGGAGAGUGGAGUGGCCCCCCACCUGAAUGCAAAGAAACCUUUCAAAUUUACAAAGUCACACCAGCAGUUCAGAAACCCACCAGAGUACAUGUUCCAGCUACCAAAGCCCCAUCAUCUCCUCAGAAAUCUACCACAGUGAAUGCACCAGCUACAAAGGUCCCACCAACUCCUCAGAAAUCCCCCACUGUAAAUGUUUCAGGUACAGAAGCCCCACCAACUCCUCAGAAACCCACCACUGUAAAGGUUUCAGUUACAGAAGCCCCACCAACCCCUCAGAAACCCACCACUGUAAAAGUUUCAGCUACAGAAGCCCCAUCAACUCCUCAGAAACUCAUCAAAAUAAAUUCUUCAGCUACAAAGUCCCCACUAGUUUCUCAGAAACCCACCACUGUAAAUGUUCCAGCUACAGAAGUCUCAUCAGCUCCUCAGAAACCUUCCACAGCAAAUGAUUCAGCCACAACAGCCCAAAAUUCCCUCAUAUCAAACACUGUCUCUACAGCAGUUCAGAAUCCUAUCAUGGCAAAUGCUUCUGCAUCACAGGCCACACCACCAACCCAAAGAUUCACCACGGCAAAAUCUUCACUUACACAGAAUCUUAGAGCAACACAAAAGUCCACUGCUGUACAUACCCCAGUGACCAAGAGUCUCCAUGCAACACAAAGAUUGACCUCUACUCAUGUUACAGCAACAAGGAGUCCAGCUGUUCCCAGGGCAACCACACGUUUUCAUGCAACAAGCACACCUAAAGGAGGAGGAAGCUCUCCUUCAGUUGCUAGCAUCAUUGCAUCGGCUCUUACUACACACAUGAGAACAACAAAGCGUUUAAUGUUAAGUUUCAUAAUUUGACUGUGACUGGUGAUGCUAUGGAAGUAAGAUCUUCUAUUAAUUUACAACAGGACAUAUAUGCAUGACAUUGACAGUUUUGCUUAUGAUGCUAGUAACCAUUGGCUAACUGAGCCAGAGAAGAGUUGAGAAGAACGUGCACAUGAGUACACAGAAUAUUUCUAGUUUUGUAGAACUUUCUGAUGGAGUGAACACAGCAUAUGUGGUAGUGUUCUUCGUUUUGUGUGUUAUCUUGUCUUUAAGAUGAAUAAGAAUGUCCAAGAAGCAAGGAAAAACAAAUCUGUCCUGGAGUCACAUUCUCAGCACUCUUAAGACUCUUGAAAAUAGAAGAACUCACAAGAUUGAGAGUGAUUACUUUCAUAAAAGUGUGGGAAAGUGGAGAGAUUUGUUGAUACUUAGAAUGUGAACAAGAAGAAAAGGAAAAAAGUGAAUUUGUUUUCAAUGAAUGUGUAAUGUUAUUUUUACUUACAAAGGACACAACAAAUUAAAAACAUUAAUUGGAUAUUGAAAACAAAUAAACCAUUCUCUUCUAAGGAAAAUUGUCAAAGAGUGAUGAAACAUUAUAAAAUAAUCCUUCCUGACUAAAAGGCAUUUUCAUCUUUUCUUAUUCCAUUAAAAUGAGUCUGAAUCAGUUGGCAAAAUUUUUUAAAGGAAAAACAUGCCGAUGACCCAAGAGUGUUGAGUUUCUUGGGUUAUUUGGUGACAAAGGAGGAACAAUUCUUCCUUUGUCAUACAAGUACAGAUAGUGAAUUAGCUCCUUACUCGUCAGAUAAAUCAGCUAUAAUUUUGUUCUUAAGACAAUUAAAAAAAAAACAGCCCUGUGAAAGGGUGAAAGGUGUCUUUAUUGACUUAAUGUCUUUAA